UACGAAGGGGGCUAGCGUUGUUCGGAAUUACUGGGCGUAAAGCGCACGUAGGCGGAUAUUUAAGUCGGGGGUGAAAUCCCGGGGCUCAACCCCGGAACUGCCUUCGAUACUGGGUAUCUUGAGUUCGGAAGAGGUGAGUGGAAUUGCGAGUGUAGAGGUGAAAUUCGUAGAUAUUCGCAGGAACACCAGUGGCGAAGGCGGCUCACUGGUCCGAUACUGACGCUGAGGUGCGAAAGCGUGGGGAGCAACAGG
rnacentral:rRNA from 1 species